UUUUCAUUUUUUUUUUUGCUAUAUCAGAAACGAUGAAAAACAGUAUUUAAUUAGCAAAACUUCAAUCUCGCUCCUAACUUUACAUAUAUGUGUGCAUCCGUUUGUGUGUGUGUGUCUGUGUGUGUGUGUGUGUGUGUGCGUGUGUGCGCGUGUGUGUUUAUUUAUAGUUGGAGUUUGUCUCGAGCCUAAAUAGGGCUGAAAGUGUCCCGCGUUUCGGAGGCGCAUAAGCUACUAAUAGUGCAAACCAGACAGGACGCCAGUUGUUUGGUAAUUCCCACUCUAGCUACCAAUUUGAUUUGACUUGACCAUUCUAGAAUGAAGUGUCUUCCUCGAGGACACAACAGCCACCCUGGGAUCGAACUAAGAAUCUUACCAUCGUCAGCUUAAUACUCUAACCAUUUCACAAAUACACAUAUGGUUAUAUGAUACAGCCACACAUGCACAUAAACUCACACUUACAUAUAUAUAUGUAUACAUAUGCAUACAAAUAUUUAUAUAAUAUAUAAAUAUGCACACACACACACACACACACACAUACACGCACACACACGCACACACACACACACAAACAUACAGAAUCUAUAAAGGUAUGGAUUCAUCAGUUUCACCUCUCUAUUCUCAUACCUACAGACUUUUCAUCGCAAAACAAUACAAUACAGACUGAUUCCACGUGGGAAUGUAAUACAAGAGGAUAUAGCUACUACUACUACUACUACUACUACUACUACUACUACUACUACUACUACCACUACUAUACAGUUUUCUGUGCGUUUCAACUGUUCUUCAGUUUACAAUCGUUGUUUUCGAAAUAUAUUGUAUUACAAGAUCGAAGUUGUGCGUAAAAAUCAAUACAAUAUUCAAUAUCCGCUGAUGCGACACUCCACAUGGUUCUGCCGUAAACUUCAACACACGCUCGCACACGCACACACACACGCGCGCGCGCACAUACGCACACCUUUGUCUACAUCCACCUGCCUAUAAUAUUGAUUACGAUGAGCUGCCUACUGCAACAGAGCUAUGCUAAAGGAAUAUUUUACUUUUUAACUUAACCUGCUAAAAAUAGCAGCCAAAUAUUCCUCAAAUCACACCUUAUCUUAUUAAAAAGGAAAAAAAAAACACUUUCGAGAAUGUAGACUAAUACCGAAAGAAAAGAGAAGAUUAUUUCUUUUUUUUUCUUUUUGUGUUAAGACUACAUUUUUUUUAUAUAAAGAAAACUGAUCUUAGAAGUUAAUAAAAGUUAUUAACAUGCAGGAAAAAUACUAUUGCUUUGUAUGAAGGCCCUCAAAUGUUCAUACAGUUUAGGGAGAGUGAGGAAACUAAUUAAUCAAAUCUCAGUUAUAUGAUUUAUAUCAAUCAUCGGAGUAUUGAUUUGCGCAGUGAAUACCAGGAGCCUAUUAAUAUUACCUUACAAUCGAAGGGGACACAAUGAAUACCGGAAGUCAUUUUAUAGAAUUUCUCUAAUGCUUUUUUUUUUUUAUCAGCCACAAUAGCAGGCACACGUAGAUAGGUAAAUACACACACACACACACACACACACACACACACACACACAAAAUGCAUACUUUCUCUAAAAUACACAAACACAAAAACACCAAUUUGUAAUAACAAUUAAAAUAAUACUGAUAUCUAUUUUAAAUAUAUUUUGGAAGCAGUGUUGUGUUUGAUUCUAUCGCUUAAAGAACUUGAAAAUACUUGAUCGACCCACAAAUCGAUGACAAAAUAAAGUUGAACCAGACUGUAUUUGAACUCUUUACGUAAAGUUUACAGUUCGCAGAGCCAUAAAGCAUUUUUUACGAUGCACUACCAAUACUAUCCACACACACACACACACACACACACACAGAGGCACAAUGACAAACCAAAACAUGUGUGAAUUUCAUUUGAUAAUCUUUAACAUUUGAUAAUCUUUAACAGAGAGAAGGUAAUAAGUAGCAGCAAGUUGCCCGACAAUGGAAGAACGGGGACAUGCAAUUUCUUAGAACAGUGAAGGGCUCCCUUAGAAAGGAAAUGAUUAACCAACCAAAAAUAACAUUAUGAAAACAAAUAAAUGAGCCAACGAGAGCCUUUCUAUUUAACUGGUCCAUUUACUAGAUGUUUCAUCUAAAAUUCCCUCAAAAAAGGGCAGUAGCAUUUUAUGACAGUGAAAGACGCAGUUCUAAAUACACUAUCAUUUUUUUUUAAUAAAGACACGCGCGAUAAUCCCAUGUUGAACUCAUUUGGUGCUAGGUCUGUUCAAUAAGGAUAUUUGACCUGUGGCUAUAUAUAAACAACAACGACGACAACAAUGUGAAAGGAAGAUUUAAAAAAGAAAUGCCCCCACCUCAAAACUGAAGGAUAUCGAAGGUAACUGUUGCUGUUCAACAUAAGAGUCUGGAAGCAUAAACUAUUUUAUGAGGACUGGAGUUGAUCACGUUCUUCAUGGUGGCGGACAUGUUGGAGGAGGAAGAGGGGAGUGAAGGAGGAGUGGAUGGUGGAGCAGGCGAUGGCGGUGGUGGAGCUUCUGGAAUGUUUACUUCAUUAAUUGGAAGAAGCAUUUCAGCUCGAAAGCAGCGGCCAUGCUGGGGCACCACCUUUUGCUUCGAUACACCUUAGCUAUUUGAAACCUCCUCUAAUAUGUGGCGAUUUCGUGGAUAACGGAGUUGAUGUUGCAGCCCUCAUCUGCGAUACCUAC